UUUGGAGUAGGAUUCAAAGCGUGAAGUGCCAAUGGAACGGGAUGUGAACAUUGGACGAAGAGUUAGACAAUAUCUCAACUCGCGGUUUUGUUUCCGCAUUCGCCACU
rnacentral:ncRNA from 2 species